AACGUAGGUUCCGAGCGUUAUCCGGAUUUACUGGGCGUAACGCGCGCUCAGGCGGUCGGGCAAGUCGGGCAUGAAAUCUCUCGGCUCAACCGGGAGAGGUUGUCCGAUACUGUCGGACUGGAGGGCAGUAGAGGGUGGUGGAAUUCCGGGUGUAGUGGUGAAAUGCGUAGAUAUCCGGAGGAACACCAGUGGCGAAGGCGGCCACCUGGACUGUACCUGACGCUGAAACGCGAAAGCUAGGGGAGCGAACGGG
rnacentral:rRNA from 1 species